rnacentral:rRNA from 1 species
GGCGGCGUGCUUAACACAUGCAAGUCGAGCGAGAAUGCAUAGAUGAAGCUCGGUAGAUCCAUGCAGGAAAGCGGCGGACGGGUGAGUAACGCGUAGGCAACCUGCCCCAUACAGAGGGAUAGCGUCGGGAAACCGGCAUUAAAACCUCAUGACACCGAACGGCCUCAUGGUCGAUCGGUCAAAAGAUUUAUCGGUAUGGGAUGGGCCUGCGUCUGAUUAGUUAGUUGGUGAGGUAACGGCUCACCAAGGCGAUGAUCAGUAGCCGACCUGAGGGGGUGAACGGCCACAUUGGAACUGAGACACGGUCCAAACUCCUACGGGAGGCAGCAGUGGGGAAUAUUGCACAAUGGGCGAAAGCCUGAAUGCAGCAACGCCGCGUGAGCGAAGAAGGCCUUUGGGUCGUAAAGCUCUGUCCUAGGGAAAGAAAGAAAUGACGGUACCCUUGGAGGAAGCCCCGGCUAACUACGUGCCAGCCGCUGC